AAGUGUUUGAAAAAAAUACCUAAUAGAAUGACAAGAAGAGAAUAACUAUUUUUUAAAAAAGUUGAUUAAUACUUGUUUUAUUUAAUUGAUAGAAUACUUGUCCUCUAAAUAAUACUUAGUGGAACAUUCUUUUUUAGUGAUAUGGAAUUUCUGAUGGAUUAGUGAUGUGUUCUUGAAACUCAUGUAAUAAUUCUUUAACUUAAUAGUUAUAGCUCAUCUUCGAUUUCAUAUAUAAAGUAUGUCCAUUAUUGAUUUUGAGGUCCUAAGCUUCUCUGUAAUACAUUGUUGAUGUUUGUGUGGGCAAUGUAGGCUUUGUGAAGCUUUUAGUUAUGUUUUUUUUUUUGUUAUGCGUAUUAAAUCAAUUAAGACUAGACAUAGUAUGCCUCUAUGGCAUGAGGAAAUCUUAUUGAAUGCUAAUGAUAUUAAAGCAAUUUAUGACCUCCAUCAUCUUUCUGCUCACAACUUUUUGUUAGCCUUACUUAUAUUAGUAUUUUUAAAUAUUCUACUAUAUACUUAUCACAUUUUACGUUCAUUUCUUUCUACAACAUUUUACAAGCGAUGGCAAUAGGGGUCCAUGAGUGCUGGAGGGUACAGUGGGUACAACACGGGGUGGGCUCUAAAGGUUAUAGAGAAGGUUUUUCCGGCGGUUGAUCACAGCAAAGCUCCACUAGCCGUGACUGUGUUCUUCGGUGCAAACGAUGCAUGUCUUCCAGGGCGAUGCUCUGCUUUUCAACACGUGCCUCUUGACAAGUACAAGCGAAACCUUCACUCCGUUGUCUUUGUCCUCAAGAUGUUGGAUGCGUACGGUAAUCAUGUUAUGGAAGGUCUGAAGUUCGGGUGGAUGUACAGGGAUUUUAGAUGCUAGAUCAACUAGGCCUCAGGCAUAAGGUGGAUUCUGACGGAUGUGUCGACCUUAGUGGUCUCUUGAAAGUAACAACCAGAUAUGGAGAGAAUGCAUGUUCGGGUUAAACCUGACCGCCUCAAGGCGCGCCUCAGACCGCCUCAUGUUCGGGUCUUUGUCUCCUGUGAGCUGUAAUAUAAUUUGAUCUUAAAGCAUUGGAUUACUACUUGGCUUGCAAGAGGCAUGUUGUAAUUGAUUUUUCUUAUUUUUAAAUCUUUCACAAUUUUGAAUAUAAG